GGAUGUGAGGGUGAUCUGACUACGAAAUCUGUCACCCCAUUGAUCACCAGGGUAGAUUCGGCUGAUCUGGCUGGCUAGGCGGAUAUCCCCUUCCUCCCUCACCACUCCAUGUGCAUCCCUCCUGAAGCUGUGCACCGGUCUUCAGUCGAGGGUAUAGGAGUAGCUGCGCCCCCCUGCUAGAACCUCCAAACAAGCUCUCAAGAAAGAGCAGAGCCCUACUCAGCUCUGGCUUAUGGUGGUGCUGGGGAUUGAACCUGGGACUUCAGAGCCUCAGGCAUGAGAAUUCUUUGCAU
rnacentral:snRNA from 1 species